rnacentral:tRNA from 1 species
GCCUGUGUGGCUUAGUUGGUUAAGCAUCUGACUUUGGCUCAGGUCAUGAUCUUGCAGUUCGUGGGUUUGAGCCCCGUGUCGGGCU